UCAAACUAUAUAAUUUUGUCUUUAUAGAUAAUUAUCUAACUAACAAGAAAAUGUGACUCAUCAUUAGAAUUAAAUCACGUAAAAAUGAGACGGAAGGGUAAUAAAUAGGAGUAACUUCAUUUAUGCAGUAUCCUACCCAAAAAGAACUAACUCAACGGCCAAGAAUCCAUCCAACAAGGCGGAGCAAGAACCUGACCCGGCUUUGCAGUUGAAGGUGUCAGAGAUGAUCCAUUCCCUACGUGAGACAAAAGGCCAGAGCCUCCACUUACCAACACUUCUGUCGCUGUGUGAAAGCCCAAAACUAAAGAAGAAGAAAAUGCUCACUUUUCAACCAAACCUACCUUACCAACCCUAAUCCCUAUAUUCCCUCUAUCUUCAACUCUUUCCUUCCAAAGUAGAUGAUGUUCAAACACCAACUUCUAGGACCCAUUUCAGCUUUCUAUUUUAGGAACAUUCAAUGUACCUCGUCAGAUAUUGUAGAUCUGUACUGCUACUGAUCAUGGAUCACUCCUCUAUCCAAUCUUAAUUUUGUUGGUCUAGAUGUAGAAAUACAACUUGGAUGUGUUCAGUUUCAUCAUUUGGAGGGACAUUUUUGUUUUUAUCAAAGAUUGGAGCUCUUUUUAUCAAAGAUUUGAUUUUUCAUUUAUCAAAAGAUUGAAAAUUUAGCUUUACACAUGGCUGAUUAUCAAGUUUGGUCUAUGUUUAUGGUUUAUUGCACAACACAGAGCUAACUUUAUUUCUGGGGUUUACCAAGAAAGAGGAUCUGAGUGAUUUGGGUCUGUACAAAAUUCCCAUCCAAAUUUGAUUCUUGAAGAUAUGUAGCGUGAAUUGGGUGUUACUUUUCGGUUUGUAAUCAUAAAAAGAAAUAUUAUUUGAAGUUCACUGUUGAGGAAAAUUUAGCAAACCAGUGUUGUAUAGUUGUUAAAGAUGUCAUUCAAGAGUAUGAUUCAGGAAAUGAGGGGUGAAUUUGGGAGCAUUUCGCGUAAAGGGUUUCGUUCUAGGUCACAUAGGGUGGUUCAAGAUUGUACAGUGACAUUGGACGCUUUAAGGCAAAGUUGUUGGGCUAAUAUGCCGCCCGAGCUAUUGAGAGAUGUCCUGAUGAGGAUUGAGGCUUCCGACUCUACUUGGCCUCCGAGAAAAAAUGUGGUUUCUUGUGCUGGUGUUUGUAGGAGUUGGAGAGAAAUAAUGAAAGAAAUUGUUAAAACACCUGAAAUUUGUGGCAAAUUGACGUUCCCCAUAUCCUUGAAGCAGGUUUGACUCUCGAAUUUUAUGAGCUUUUAGUGUUCCAGUGUAUGCCUUUGCGUACUUGUUGUGUAUGCUAGGCAAACUAAAAAAAGUGCUAGUACAUUUUUGCUACAUUUACUCCUUUAAUCAGGGUGAGGCUCAACAGGAAAAUUCUGCAUGUUUUUAUGGUAGCUUAUACCUGGAGGAUAAAUAAAGUGUAUUAAAGCUUACACAUUGUAUUCCACUAAUAAUUGAUCUAGCGAUUUCUUGUUUUUUUUCAUAUGAAACUUUGGCCAUUUAGGGUUCGUCAUGAGGAACAGCUUUUGCUAAACCUAAGUUGUCAUUUGAAUGAAUAUGAGUUUUACAAGGUUGAGUGGUUGAGCAUUGGGCGUGCUUGCAUGCACUUUGACUAAUCCGCAGAUGACAAGCACAGGUCUCGGACAAUCCUGCUCCAGCCUUCAGAUGAAGUCAAACUGAGUGUUGUAACUAGAAGAGGAACUUGUGGUCUUCAAGUUGAUACUCUUAUGUCUGAACAAUUCAGUCAUCCCCUAGGGGAUCUGGAAUAUGCAAAUAAUAGUACACUGAAUCAAUAUGAGUAUGAAAGAACUAAGAAAGAAAAGAAAUAGCUUACCUUUAAAUCUUACUACAUAUGUAGAUUUAUGUAACCUUUGUUCUUUAUGUUCUGCAAGAGAGAGCAGAAAUUUAACUUACCCUCCCCUCUUGGAGUUUCAUGUUCCCCUUUAGAUUACUCUGGAGCUUAAUCAAGAGUAUGUGCUGUUAACGGUGUGCUUAACUCUAAUGUUCAUUACAAUUGCUGCUGAGCGCCUGCUUAGUUGCUAGAGGAAAGAUUUGUAGGGAAAUGACACGAAAAAUACAAUAAUAAUACUGCAAUAAUAUUAUUUGUGAGCAGAUACACUAAUUGGCUUGAGUCGUGCUGGGCACUGUCCUAAGAAACUAUUUCAGCAAUGUGAAAUGUUUCCCCAGGAUUAAACUAGCCUAUCUCCACUUGGGAGGAUAUAGGAAUAAGCAAAAUAUUGAAUUACAAACCCAGCUAUUUAAAAGAGGAAACAAACAAAGUAGACUGCAAAUGUUUUAAGGAGGAAAGAAAAGGAAGCUGAGAGGAACGAAAGAGGCAAAGCAAA
rnacentral:lncRNA from 1 species